rnacentral:rRNA from 1 species
UACGUAGGGGCCAAGCGUUGUCCGGAUUUAUUGGGCGUAAAGAGCUCGUAGGCGGUUGGGUAAGUCGGGUGUGAAAACUCCAGGCUCAACUUGGAGAUGCCACCCGAUACUGCUCUGACUUGAGUUCGGUAGGGGAGUAGGGAAUUCCUGGUGUAGAGGUGAAAUUCGUAGAUAUUCGCAAGAACACCAGUGGCGAAGGCGGCCGACUGGUCCGGUUCUGACGCUGAGGCGCGAAAGCGUGGGGAGCAAACAGGG